rnacentral:rRNA from 1 species
GACGAACGCUGGCGGCGUGCUUAACACAUGCAAGUCGAACGGAAAGGCCCUGCUUUUGUGGGGUGCUCGAGUGGCGAACGGGUGAGUAACACGUGAGUAACCUGCCCUUGACUUUGGGAUAACUUCAGGAAACUGGGGCUAAUACCGGAUAGGAGCUCCUGCUGCAUGGUGGGGGUUGGAAAGUUUCGGCGGUUGGGGAUGGACUCGCGGCUUAGCAGCUUGUUGGUGGGGUAGUGGCUUCCAAGGCUUUGACGGGUAGCCGGCCUGAGAGGGUGACCGGGCACAUUGGGACUGAGAUACGGCCCAGAAUCCUACGGGAGGCAGCAGUGGGGAAUAUUGCACAAUGGGCGGAAGCCUGAUGCAGCAACGCCGCGUGCGGGAUGACGGCCUUCGGGUUGUAAACCGCUUUCGCCUGUGACGAAGCGUGAGUGACGGUAAUGGGUAAAGAAGCACCGGCUAACUACGUG